rnacentral:rRNA from 1 species
AAACUGGGAUUAGAUACCCCACUAUGCUCAGUCGUAAAAUUUGGUUUACUACAUAAAACGCCAGGAUAUUAUAAGCUUAGCUUAAAAUCCAAAGGACUUGACGGUGUCUCACAUCAUUCUAGAGGAGCCUGCCCUAUAAUCGAUAAUACCCGCUAGACCCUACCAUCUCUUGCAAUCCCAGCUUGUAUACUUCCGACGCAAGUUUACCGUUUGAGCGAUUAGUGGACUUAAUGUUCCGUUUAACCAGUACGUCAGGUCAAGGUGCAGCCUAUGAGAUGGAAGUGGUGGGCUACAAUUUCUAAAACUAGAACAUACGAAAACCCUGUAUGAAAAAUCAGAAAUGAAGGUGGAUUUAGUAGUAAAAAGAAAGUAGAGUGUUCUUUUUAAUAAAAGCUCUGAGACAAGU